rnacentral:lncRNA from 1 species
GUCUGUUUGAUUUUAUAUGCUUCCAGCACUAGCAUUUGAUGUAGAUGCUGUUGUUAAAAUAAUAAUGUACUAGAGCAUCUUACUAUUACUGGGAUGCUAGUUUUGCAUAUAUUUUUUUUUUAAAUAUUUUUUUAUUUUUUGGGGAUGCUGGAUUUCCUAUAUAUUGAAAUGCUGGCAUCCAGUCAUAUUGGGAUGCUGGCAUCCCGUUUUAUUGAGAUGCUGGCAUCCCGUUUUAUUGGGAUGCUGGCAUCCAGUCAUAUUGGGAUGCUGGCAUCCCGUUUUAUUGAGAUGCUGGCAUCCCGUUUUAUUGGGAUGCUGGCAUCCCGUUAUAUUGAGAUGCUUGC